GCUCAGGUGGCAUAGUGGUUAGAGUGUCCGCCUCGGAUUCGGGAGGUCGUGGGUUCUAUCCCUAGCCGAAUCA